CGAGAGUUUUGUUAGAACCGCGUCCCCGCCCCAGUUCCCUGUCCGUGAGCCGAUUUAUCUGCCCAGGGUCGGCGCGCGCGGCUGUCUCAGAACUCAUGCAGCUGUUCCCGCGAGGCCUGUUUGAGGACGCGCUGCCGCCCAUCGUGCUGAGGAGCCAGGUGUACAGCCUUGUGCCUGACAGGACCGUGGCCGACCGGCAGCUGAAGGAGCUUCAAGAGCAGGGGGAGAUCAGAAUCGUCCAGCUGGGCUUCGACUUGGAUGCCCAUGGAAUUAUCUUCACUGAGGACUACAGGACCAGAGUCCUCAAGGCCUGUGAUGGCCGACCGUAUGCUGGGGCAGUGCAGAAAUUUCUAGCUUCAGUACUUCCAGCCUGUGGGGACCUUAGUUUCCAGCAGGACCAAAUGACACAGACCUUUGGCUUCAGGGACUCAGAAAUCACGCAUCUGGUGAAUGCUGGAGUCCUCACCGUCCGAGAUGCUGGGAGCUGGUGGCUAGCUGUGCCUGGAGCUGGGAGAUUCAUCAAGUACUUUGUUAAAGGGCGCCAGGCUGUCCUUAGCAUGGUCCGGAAGGCAAAGUACCGGGAACUGCUCCUAUCAGAGCUCCUGGGCCGGCGGGCGCCUGUCGUGGUGCGGCUUGGCCUCACCUACCAUGUGCACGACCUCAUUGGGGCCCAGCUAGUGGACUGCAUCUCUACCACUUCAGGAACCCUCCUCCGCCUGCCAGAGACAUGAAGAUUCUGCUCAUCAUUGCUCAGCUCCUCAGAGUGGGCCGGGAGGGGACUAGAAGAGCUGCAUGAUGGUGGCUGAGACAGGGUCACCUUGGGAAGGCUUGGGAGCCAGGAUGAGUGUCGGGCUCUCGUGUGUGCAAAAGGUCAGAUGUGACUGCUGCUGUUUGCCUGGUUUCUGACCCAGUGGUGGGGUUUGAGCAAUGCUUCUCUGCCCUUCCAUGGAAAGUGGAACCAGAAAUGGUGCCAAGGCUGUGGCUGUUCCCUUUCGUGUAAAAUGGUGCUGUUAUUACUCUGUCUUGAAAUAGGAAGGUGGGAUUUCUGGGGAGGCUGGUGAAGGAGGGCAGGGUUCUUUUCUCUACGUGUCAUGUUAAAAUUGCCAAAUAAAGUACCUCUGCCUGUGA
rnacentral:misc_RNA from 1 species